UACGGAGGAUGCAAGCGUUAUCCGGAUUUAUUGGGUUUAAAGGGUGCGUAGGCGGGUUAUCAAGUCAGCGGUGAAAUUUUUCGGCUUAACCGUAAAAUUGCCGUUGAAACUGGUGAUCUUGAGUGCGAGCGAGGUAGGCGGAAUGUGCCGUGUAGCGGUGAAAUGCAUAGAUAUGGCACAGAACUCCGAUUGCGAAGGCAGCUUACUAGUACGCUACUGACGCUGAUGCACGAAGGCGUGGGGAUCAAACAGGAUUAGAUACCCUGGUAGUCCACGCAGUAAACGAUGAUUACUAGCUGUUUGCGAUAUACCGUAAGCGGCCGAGCGAAAGCAUUAAGUAAUCCACCUGGGGAGUACGUUCGCAAGAAUGAA
rnacentral:rRNA from 1 species